UCAGUUUGGUUCUCCGUGGCCUCAACACCCUCUGAACUCAGGGCCAGCAUUGUCUCCAGGUUUCAGUGGGUGUUGCUGAUGAAGGGAAAUCCCAGGGUGAAGAGUCAUGAAGAAAACAGGGAAAGGUCCCUUUGGAUGGCGGGACACAGGGACGUCUGAGACUGCAUGCAGUGCUUCUGAAGGUCUGCAAUUCCUUUCUCGGCACAAAACCUGACCAAGAUAUAGAUAUCUACAUGACUGAGGAACGCUGCAGGCAGGAGGUAAUGUCUAAGGAGGACCGUCCUCUGACACACAUGAGACCACAUGGAGGGUAAAAGGCACGCAAAGGAACACCGAUAGAGGCAUCAUAAAGACUCUGCUCAAGCCUUGCUCCAUAAAUGCUAUAUAAGCAGCAAUGGAGGGAGAAAAAGAAAACAACUGUUCCCCCCUGGAGUAAACCCAGAGUCCCGUGUCUCUGUCUCGCAUCGGCCUCCUUUCCCGGCCCCUGUGUUGUUCAUGACUAUGCUGGCCAUUGCAUACAUGUGAGUUCCAGUGUGCCACGGUGAGGGGUGUGGAGGUCAGAGAACAGAUUUUUGCCAUGUGGGUUUGAUAAUUAAAAACAAAUCUCCAGGCCUGGUGGCAAGUGCCUUCUACUGAGCCCAACAAGUAGGGUUUUCUUUUUUCCACACCCUUAACAUGACUCCUAAGGACUUAUUACUAUACCCAUAGACUUGUGUAUUCAAAGGUCCUAGCAAGGAUAUCACCAGGAUACUGCCCUCCUUGCUUCGAACCCCACAUGACCUGCUCUGUGCUUCCCUUCCUUCAGGGUAGCUGGGGUUCUCCUAUGCUCUUUUGGGCAGGGUUCCCUGACCUAUGUCCUCAGUCUUGUUUCCAGAGUGAGACUCAGCGGAGGGAGAAUAAUAGUAUUAGUUUCUCCUCUGUGACCUACAACAUGUCUAGCCACAUGUUCUUUAAUAGUGUCAGGCAUAAAUUCCACCCCAUGGAGAGCCCAAUAGAUCUGAUCAGAAAGUAGUUGGUGACUCCCAUGUGCCACCAUUGCGUUGUUCGAUCUCAGAGAAGCUUGUUCUUGAAGUAGAAGACAAUGGACACAAAGACCCUUAUCUGGUCAAAGUGUGGAGAAUAAGAGACUGUGGAGUGCUUGUUUCUAAACGAGUUAGACAUAUUUCACCCUUUCUCCCCAAGUUCAGGGAACUUCUCCAAAGAAGGGGCAUAAGGCUUUGCAGAGCCAGAGGUGCUGGGUGACUUCACUGAAACCUCGCUUUCCAGGCACAGCCGAGCAGACGCACAUAUGAAUCCACAGCAAUUGUGACAGUGUGCAUAAGAUUUUGCAAACCCAAGCCAGACAAAAUCACAGCAUGGAAAGAGAGGGGAGGUGCACUGGAAAUCCCACCACUAGCUGAGGAGAUGCUGGCAUUUCACUGCUGCUGGGAGAGUCAACCUUAGGUCUACCACGAUCCAAGAGUAGCUGAGCAGCACAAACUGGACUCAAUGGAGAAACAAAAGGAAGA